rnacentral:lncRNA from 1 species
UUUUCUUUUAAUGUCUUCCAACGAUGGUGAGUAUAGGGGGCGAAAACCGUCAUGGCAACCAAAGUCCUCGUUUGCCACCUCCUUGGGCUUGGUCUGAGCAUACUCCUUGGUUCACCCUCAAGACCAACUCAUCAUCUGGGUGCCGAAUCUCCAACCAUCGAAGCACAAGCAGUCUUGUGCAUGGGUUCUAUGAUUUUUG